rnacentral:lncRNA from 1 species
CUCCGUCUGUGCUCGCUCCCUUCUCUCUUCUGUGCAGCUCAUACCAGCUCUCCAGGCCGGGAGAGGGGACCCCACGCCCCAGGCCAUCUUUACAAGGAGCCUGAGCUGGCCACACGGUGUGGCGAGGAGCACUGCGAUCCUCGGGCAGCAUGCCACACACGCGGGGAACGAGGUGCCCUCUGCAACGUGGAAAGAGCCAGACAUGGGACUGGUCCCGGGGCAUGUACCAUCCCUGUCCCCAGGGGUGUGAAGACGUGGUCUUCCAAACAGUCUACCCUGAUUUUUUACAAGACCACUGAGGACCUGUCAGUAGGGAUACCAUUGUACUAAUGACAAGACUUCUAUGAACCUAGAGGAGCAGGAGAAGCAAAUGCCAAAGGUUACCAGAAUCCUCCAGGGGCUGACAUCUGCCCCAGGGAACACUUUGGUCAGUGUGUUGGAUCAAGAACCCCCCCGCCCCCCAGGCAUUGGCUCGGUGGAAUGUGACUGGGUGACACACCAUCCUUCUCUGUUCUCCUGGGACUACGAUCUAAGCUCAGGAAGAGCCCUGACCACUAACCACAGCCUUAGCUAGGAGCUCCCUGAUGUACCUGAUGCAAGUAUGGGGUCCAGGGCUGCAGGUGUCAGAUGUCUGAGGGUCCAGGCUGCUGGCUUUGAUGUGGAGAGUGGAUGGGGCAAAGCCACUCUCCAGGGAGGGGGGGACCUGCAGGGAAGUGGUGAGCCCACCUGCUCUGAACCAGCAGCGUGCUCAGCACGAGCCAGGGAAGAAAGCUAGGCCUGCGUGCGGGUGUGCGAAACCUCCCAGGUUUUAACAUUUUUAAUUCCUGUGUAUUCACAUACAGUGUUACAUUAGCUUCAGGUGUGCAGUAUAGUGAUUCAACCCUCCCAUGCAACACCUGGUGCUCAUCAGGGUAGGUGUAAUCAGCGUUCUCUUCAUCCCCAUCACCUAUUUCCCCUGCCCUCCCCCCCACCUCCCCUCUAUAAACCACCUGUUU